GAAAACAUCUACUUACUAAACCAGUGUACACCUGUCUGUGAAUCUUCCCAUUGAAGGUACGUAUCCUGCUAUUCCCCUAGCCCUGAAGAGUAGAUUUCAGUAUGGAACAGAGAGAGAGAGAGGACUACGUGGCUUUGAUCUCGUCAUGGUAUUAAAAGGUCUCCAGUGAUAAGUAACCUCCUUCCUGGAGAGAGGAGAGGCUACCACUUCAGAAGUUCCUAGAUUUUAUCACAUGAGAAUGAUUCCCAAGAACCAAGAUGUACUGAAGAUUACCAAGAUGUUAUCUACACCAUGAGGAGCAACUUGAAAAACUGCAAGUCGCUUCUAGUGUGAGAUUUGGCUGUCUGCAAGGAUGUUGCCCAGGGGAUACCCAGAUGUUUUUGAUGUUAUAUCAUCCUUGUGGGAGGCUUCUCUCAUGUCCCCACAUGGAGAGCUGAAGCUGACAGAAGGAGCUCAUCCGUGCUCUCCCCGGAUUCGAACCUCUGACUUGUCAGUUAUCAGUCCUGCUGGCACAAGUGUUUAACCCACUGCUCUACUGGGGGCUUCAUGAGGAUAAAGACAUGAGAAUCAUGUCCGUUUUUGAUCAUUUGUUGUUCAUCAAAAACACAGUAGAUGGAGGUGAAGGGGAAAGAAGAGGAAGACCAGCAGCCCUGUUUCAAUGAUUACUUGUGACUUCAUCAGAUGUGAUGCUGCCGGGAUAGAGUCUGACGGAUCCUAUCAUAUGACGCAUGGCUACUUCUGGUGGGUCUCCAUUGAGCUCCGUCCUGGCAGCAGGCCAGCAGCAUGCUAAGAGGGAACCCUGAGGAUAUGGGUGACUACUCAUAUUCUCACUGAAGAAGCUGGGAACAGCACAGGAGGAAGCAAGGGACAGAUGGAAAAUGUCAUAGGAAGGCAGCCCAUGGCCA